rnacentral:tRNA from 1 species
UAUUUCAAGUGGUAGAGCAUUCGACUGCAGAUCGAGUGGUCCUCGGUUCAAACCCGGG